CUCAGUAGCUCAAUGGCAGAGCGUUCGGCUGUUAACCGAUUGGUCGUAGGUUCAAGUCCUACCUGGG
rnacentral:tRNA from 1 species